GAUGAAGAACGCAGCGAAAUGCGAUAAGUAAUGUGAAUUGCAGAAUUCAGUGAAUCAUCGAAUCUUUGAACGCACAUUGCGCCCGCCAGUAUUCUGGCGGGCAUGCCUGUUCGAGCGUCAUUUCAACCAUCAAGCCCCCGGCUUGUGUUGGGGACCUGCGGCUGCCGCAGGCCUGAAAACCAGUGGCGGGCUCGCUAGUCACUCCGAGCGUAGUAAUACAUCUCGCUCAGGGCGUGCUGCGGGUUCCCGCCGUUAAAAAAGCCUUAUUUACCCAAGGUUGACCUCGGAUCAGGUAGGAAGACCCGCUGAACUUAAGCAUAUCAAUAAGCGGAGGA
rnacentral:misc_RNA from 1 species